UACGGGGGGGGCAAGCGUUGUUCGGAAUUACUGGGCGUAAAGGGCUCGUAGGUGGCCAACUAAGUCAGACGUGAAAUCCCUCGGCUUAACCGGGGAACUGCGUCUGAUACUGGAUGGCCUGAGUUCGGGAGAGGGAUGCGGAAUUCCAGGUGUAGCGGUGAAAUGCGUAGAUAUCUGGAGGAACACCGGUGGCGAAGGCGGCAUCCUGGACCGACACUGACACUGAGGAGCGAAAGCCAGGGGAGCGAACGGG
rnacentral:rRNA from 1 species